CGGGCAGCUUAACAUGCAAGUCGAGCGAGAAAGUCCCUUCGGGUAUGAGUACAGCGGCGGACGGGUGCCCCCCCCGGGGGUAACCUGCCCUCGAAUGGGGAAUAACCCCGGGCCUCUGGGGCUAAUACCGCAUACGAUCCCUCGGGAUGAAAGCCUUCGGGCGUUCGAGGAGGGGCCCGCGCCCGAUUAGCUAGUUGGUAGGGUAAUGGCCUACCAAGGCUCCGAUCGGUAGCCGGCCUGAGAGGGCACACGGCCACACUGGCACUGAGACACGGGCCAGACUCCUACGGGAGGCAGCAGUGGGGAAUCUUGGACAAUGGGGGAAACCCUGAUCCAGCGACGCCGCGUGACCGAUGAAGCCUUUCGGGGUGUAAAGGUCUUUCAGCGGGGACUAACCUGAAGGUACCCGCAGAAGCAGCUGCGGCUAACUACGUGCCAGCAGCCGCGGUAAUACGUAGGCAGCAAGCGUUGUUCGGAAUUACUGGGCGUAAAGCGAGUGUAGGCGGUCUGCCAAGUCCGCCGUGAAAUCUCCCGGCUCAACUGGGAGGGUGCGACGGAAACUGGCAGGCUUGAGUGCGGGAGAGGAGAGUGGAAUUCCUGGUGUAGCGGUGAAAUGCGUAGAUAUCAGGAGGAACACCGGUGGUGAAGACGGCUCUCUGGACCGCAACUGACGCUGAGACUCGAAAGCGUGGGGAGCAAACAGGAUUAGAUACCCUGGUAGUCCACGCCCUAAACGAUGCAUACUUGGUGUAGGCUCUUCACUGAGUCUGUGCCGGAGCUAACGCGUUAAGUAUGCCGCCUGGGGAGUACGGUCGCAAGGCUGAGACUCAAAGGAAUUGACGGGG
rnacentral:rRNA from 1 species